AAGGGGAUGGUGUAAUUGGGAACACGGAGGUCUUCGGCACCUCAGUUGUCAGUUCAAGUCUGACUCUCCUUG
rnacentral:tRNA from 1 species